GACGAACGCUGGCGGCGUGCCUAAUACAUGCAAGUAGAACGCUGAAGAGAGGAGCUUGCUCUUCUUGGAUGAGUUGCGAACGGGUGAGUAACGCGUAGGUAACCUGCCUUGUAGCGGGGGAUAACUCUUGGAAACGAUAGCUAAUACCGCAUAACAAUGGAUGACACAUGUCAUUUAUUUGAAAGGGGCAAUUGCUCCACUACAAGAUGGACCUGCGUUGUAUUAGCUAGUAGGUGAGGUAACGGCUCACCUAGGCGACGAUACAUAGCCGACCUGAGAGGGUGAUCGGCCACACUGGGACUGAGACACGGCCCAGACUCCUACGGGAGGCAGCAGUAGGGAAUCUUCGGCAAUGGGGGCAACCCUGACCGAGCAACGCCGCGUGAGUGAAGAAGGUUUUCGGAUCGUAAAGCUCUGUUGUAAGUCAAGAACGAGUGUGAGAGUGGAAAGUUCACACUGUGACGGUAGCUUACCAGAAAGGGACGGCUAACUACGUGCCAGCAGCCGCGGUAAUACGUAGGUCCCGAGCGUUGUCCGGAUUUAUUGGGCGUAAAGCGAGCGCAGGCGGUUUGAUAAGUCUGAAGUUAAAGGCUGUGGCUCAACCAUAGUUCGCUUUGGAAACUGUCAAACUUGAGUGCAGAAGGGGAGAGUGGAAUUCCAUGUGUAGCGGUGAAAUGCGUAGAUAUAUGGAGGAACACCGGUGGCGAAAGCGGCUCUCUGGUCUGUAACUGACGCUGAGGCUCGAAAGCGUGGGGAGCGAACAGGAUUAGAUACCCUGGUAGUCCACGCCGUAAACGAUGAGUGCUAGGUGUUGGAUCCUUUCCGGGAUUCAGUGCCGCAGCUAACGCAUUAAGCACUCCGCCUGGGGAGUACGACCGCAAGGUUGAAACUCAAAGGAAUUGACGGGGGCCCGCACAAGCGGUGGAGCAUGUGGUUUAAUUCGAAGCAACGCGAAGAACCUUACCAGGUCUUGACAUCCCGAUGCUAUUUCUAGAGAUAGAAAGUUAUUUCGGUACAUCGGUGACAGGUGGUGCAUGGUUGUCGUCAGCUCGUGUCGUGAGAUGUUGGGUUAAGUCCCGCAACGAGCGCAACCCCUAUUGUUAGUUGCCAUCAUUCAGUUGGGCACUCUAGCGAGACUGCCGGUAAUAAACCGGAGGAAGGUGGGGAUGACGUCAAAUCAUCAUGCCCCUUAUGACCUGGGCUACACACGUGCUACAAUGGUUGGUACAACGAGUUGCGAGUCGGUGACGGCAAGCUAAUCUCUUAAAGCCAAUCUCAGUUCGGAUUGUAGGCUGCAACUCGCCUACAUGAAGUCGGAAUCGCUAGUAAUCGCGGAUCAGCACGCCGCGGUGAAUACGUUCCCGGGCCU
rnacentral:rRNA from 1 species